rnacentral:sRNA from 1 species
AACAAUGAAACGCUGAAUUCCUAGAUUAAGGAAACGGGGGAACCAAUUAUGGGGUGAAUCUCACAGGUGAGUAGGGUUAGUCUUCUUUCGACCCGAAUCCGUCAGCUAACUUCGUAAGCGUGGAAAGAGGAAAA